rnacentral:rRNA from 1 species
GACGAACGCUGGCGGCGUGCUUAACACAUGCAAGUCGAACGGAAAGGCCCUGCUUUUGUGGGGUGCUCGAGUGGCGAACGGGUGAGUAACACGUGAGUAACCUGCCCUUGACUUUGGGAUAACUUCAGGGAACUGGGGCUAAUACCGGAUAGGAGCUCCUGCUGCACGGUGGGGGUUGGAAAGUUUCGGCGGUUGGGGAUGGACUCGCGGCUUAUCAGCUUGUUGGUGGGGUAGUGGCUUACCAAGGCUUUGACGGGUAGCCGGCCUGAGAGGGUGACCGGCCACAUUGGGACUGAGAUACGGCCCAGACUCCUACGGGAGGCAGAAGUGGGGAAUAUUGCACAAUGGGCGGAAGCCUGAUGCAGCAACGCCGCGUGCGGGAUGACGGCCUUCGGGUUGUAAACCGCUUUCGCCUGUGACGAAGCGUGAGUGACGGUAAUGGGUAAAGAAGCACCGGCUAACUACGUG